CCUACGGGGGGCUGCAGUGGGGAAUAUUGGACAAUGGGGGGAACCCUGAUCCAGCCAUGCCGCGUGUGUGAAGAAGGCCCUCGGGUUGUAAAGCACUUUCAGUGAGGAAGAACGCCUGGUGGUUAAUACCCAUCAGGAAAGACAUCACUCACAGAAGAAGCACCGGCUAACUCCGUGCCAGCAGCCGCGGUAAUACGGAGGGUGCGAGCGUUAAUCGGAAUUACUGGGCGUAAAGCGCGCGUAGGUGGCUUGAUAAGCCGGUUGUGAAAGCCCCGGGCUCAACCUGGGAACGGCAUACGGAACUGUCAAGCUAGAGUGCAGGAGAGGAAGGUAGAAUUCCCGGUGUAGCGGUGAAAUGCGUAGAGAUCGGGAGGAAUACCAGUGGCGAAGGCGGCCUUCUGGACUGACACUGACACUGAGGUGCGAAAGCGUGGGUAGCAAACAGGAUUAGAUACCCUGGUAGUC
rnacentral:rRNA from 1 species